rnacentral:rRNA from 1 species
AUUGAACGCUGGCGGCAUGCUUUACACAUGCAAGUCGAACGGUAACAGGCCGCAAGGUGCUGACGAGUGGCGAACGGGUGAGUAAUGCAUCGGAACGUGCCCAGUCGUGGGGGAUAACGCAACGAAAGCUGCGCUAAUACCGCAUACGACCUAUGGAUGAAAGCGGGGGACCGAAAGGCCUCGCGCGAUUGGAGCGGCCGAUGUCAGAUUAGGUAGUUGGUGGGGUAAAGGCCCACCAAGCCAACGAUCUGUAGCUGGUCUGAGAGGACGACCAGCCACACUGGGACUGAGACACGGCCCAGACUCCUACGGGAGGCAGCAGUGGGGAAUUUUGGACAAUGGGCGCAAGCCUGAUCCAGCAAUGCCGCGUGCAGGAAGAAGGCCUUCGGGUUGUAAACUGCUUUUGUACGGAACGAAACGGUCCGGGUUAAUACCCUGGGCUAAUGACGGUACCGUAAGAAUAAGCACCGGCUAACUACGUGCCAGCCGCCGCGGUAAGAC